UUCACCACUUGCAGGCAAUGGUGAUUUUCACUUACAUAGAGUACUAAUUUGAUUAAGGAAAAAUCAUGUUCAUUCAUAAUUUUCAUUUUAAAAGUGUAUUGAUUCCUUCUGCAAAUCCAUACUGUCAUGCCUAUUACCCAAUAUCGUCAACGCGGAUAGUUCGUUAGUCGAAAAUACUGAAUAAUUAAACAAACCAAAUGGCAUCACUGGUGGUUCUUUUUUCCACUCCGCUAAACUGUCAUCUCAAACAAAAACAAAUGGAUCAUACAACUGCUAUGAAUACAUUCGACUCGUUUGCUUCCAUCAAUCGGUAAGUGAGAAAGAUGAUUUCUCCCAUCAGUGCGGAUUUCCACUUCUAUCACAGCAGCCAACAACAUCCGUUUUCCUGCAGCAGUAACCUAUAACCCCUGUUGGCAAUGCCGGGGGACAGCAUCAACAGCAGCAGCAGCAGAAUUUGACCAUGGUAUGGUAUUGCGAAGAACUUUCCCCAUUAGAGGUUCCGUGCUUCGCGCACAUUCAAAAUCCUCUUCAGACACGAAAACUCAACGACAAGGAGGUAUUUAUCAACUUGCUCAGCUGAAUUACCACCCGGAGGAACCCGAAUGCACUGAUUCCGUUGUAUAGUAGAAUGAAAAUAGGCGAGGUAAGCGAACGUAAUCGCAUGAUAUUUUAAUAGUUCGCAUUUUUAUCCGGAUCAUACAACUGCUAUGAAUACAUCCGACUCAAUCAAUCGGCGAGUGAGAAAGAUGAUUUCCCUCAUCACCACAUUGCUUAUUUCCACUUCUGUCACGCCAGCCAACAGCAUCAGCUUUCCCGCAGCAGUAUCCUUUAAGUCCAGGGUGCUAUUCCGGGGAACAGCAUCAUCAGUAACAGCAGCAGGACCUGGCCAUCGAUAGUAUUUCGAGCAAUUUUCCCCAUCGGAGAUCCCGUGCUUCACGCACAUUGAAGAAACCUCCUCAGCCACAUAUGUGUGUCAAGGAGAAAAAGGAGCUGGAUUCGAAUCGUCAAUCCAGACAACCCGAAUGCACCGAUUGCAUUAUAUAUCUUGUUUAUAUUUUAUAUGCAUUUUGUGUUUUUUUGAAUAAAAUGAUUAAAAUCGA